rnacentral:piRNA from 1 species
UAACGUACAAAGGUAACUGGAUAGAGA